CCGGUAUAGCUCAGCUGGUAGAGCAACUGACUUGUAACAGUAGGUCCCGGGUUCGACUCCUGGUGCCGG
rnacentral:tRNA from 1 species